rnacentral:rRNA from 1 species
CCUUACCAGGUCUUGCCAUCUUCUGACAACCCAAGAAAUAGGCUUUUUCCUUCGGGAGCAGAGUGCCAGGUGGUCCAUGGUGGUCGUCAGCUCGUGUCGUGGGAUGUGGGGUUAAGUCCCGCAACGAGCCCACCCCUUGAUCUUAGUCCCCACCAUUAAGUGGGCCCUUCUAAGGUGCCUCCCGGUGCCAACCGGAAGGAAGGGGGGGACGCCGUCAAAUCAUCAUGCCCCUUAUGCCCUGGCCUCCCCACGUGCUCCAAUGGCCGGUCCAAAAAGCUCCAAGCCCGGGAGGGGGAGCUAAUUUCAUAAACCCGUUUUCAGUUGGGAUUGUAGCCUCCACUUCCCCUCCAUGAAGCGGGAAUCGUUAGUAAUCGGGGAUCACCAUCCCCCGGUGAAUUCGUUCCCGGCCCUGGUCCCCCCCCCCCGUCCCCCCCCAAGAUUUUGUACCCCCAGAGAACGGUGGGGUACCCUUUUGGAGCCAGCCGCCUAAGGUGGGACAGAUGAUUGGGGUGAAGUCGAACAAGAGCUACGG